rnacentral:rRNA from 1 species
GACGAACGCUGGCGGCGUGCCUAACACAUGCAAGUCGAGCGGAGAUGUACUGAAGAUUUAUCGGAUGUACAUCUUAGCGGCGGACGGGUGAGUAACGCGUGGGCAACCUGCCUUUCACUGGGGGAUAACACAGGGAAACCUGUGCUAAUACCGCAUGACAUCACGUAGGGCAUCCUAUGUGAUCAAAGGAGAGAUCCGGUGGAAGAUGGGCCCGCGUCCAAUUAGCUGGUUGGUGAGGUAAAGGCUCACCAAGGCGACGAUUGGUAGCCGAACUGAGAGGUUGAUCGGCCACAUUGGGACUGAGACACGGCCCAGACUCCUACGGGAGGCAGCAGUGGGGAAUAUUGCGCAAUGGGGGGAACCCGUGACGCAGCAACGCCGCGUGAAGGAAGAAGGUCUUCGGAUUGUAAACUUACUUUGUAUGAGGGACGAAUAAAAGUAGACGGUACCUCAAAACAAAGCACGGCUAACUAACGUGCAGCAGCGCGGUAAGUAC